rnacentral:misc_RNA from 1 species
AAAGAAGGAUGCGAAUUGUGGUUGGUUUGACAACAGGUGAGAAAGUCUCUACAAAAUCAAUGUCUGGACAUUGGUGAAAUCCUUUAGCCAUGAGAUGGGCCUUAUAGCGGUCAAGAGAGCCAUCCUAUUUUUGCUUUAUUCUAUAGACCCAACAAUAACCAAUUAUGUUUUGGGCUUAACUUCGAGGCACUAGCUCCCAUGUUCCAG